CCUACGGGAGGCAGCAGUGGGGAAUAUUGGACAAUGGGCGAAAGCCUGAUCCAGCCAUGCCGCGUGUGUGAAGAAGGUCUUCGGAUUGUAAAGCACUUUAAGUUGGGAGGAAGGGUUGUAGAUUAAUACUCUGCAAUUUUGACGUUACCGACAGAAUAAGCACCGGCUAACUCUGUGCCAGCAGCCGCGGUAAUACAGAGGGUGCAAGCGUUAAUCGGAAUUACUGGGCGUAAAGCGCGCGUAGGUGGUUCGUUAAGUUGGAUGUGAAAUCCCCGGGCUCAACCUGGGAACUGCAUUCAAAACUGACGAGCUAGAGUAUGGUAGAGGGUGGUGGAAUUUCCUGUGUAGCGGUGAAAUGCGUAGAUAUAGGAAGGAACACCAGUGGCGAAGGCGACCACCUGGACUGAUACUGACACUGAGGUGCGAAAGCGUGGGGAGCAAACAGGAUUAGAUACCCUGGUAGUCCACGCCGUAAACGAUGUCAACUAGCCGUUGGGAGCUGAGCUCUUAGUGGCGCGAGCGACGCGAGUUAAGUUAGACCGCCGUGGGUAGGUACGGUUCCGGCGAAGGUUAAACGUUACGAAGGAAGUUAGACGGCGUUGAGACGUUGCCGACGGACGACGACGAGGGAGGUUAGG
rnacentral:rRNA from 1 species